CUGCAGCCCGAGUGGUGAUCGAUUUUAUUGAGCCUAAAGCGUCCGUAGCCGGACUAGUAAACCCUUGGGAAAAUUGGGCAGCUUAACUGUCCAAAUUCCGAGGGGACUGCUAGUCUUGGGACCGGGAGAGGUCAGAGGUACUCCAGGGGUAGGGGCUAAAUCCUGUAAUCCUUGGGGGACCACCAGUGGCGAAGGCGUCUGACUAGAACGGAUCCGACGGUAAGGGACGAAACCCUGGGGCGCGAACCGGAUUAGAUACCCGAGUAGUCC
rnacentral:rRNA from 1 species